CCUACGGGCGGCAGCAGUGGGGAAUAUUGCACAAUGGGCGCAAGCCUGAUGCAGCCAUGCCGCGUGUGUGAAGAAGGCCUUCGGGUUGUAAAGCACUUUCAGCGGGGAGGAAGGCGGUGAGGUUAAUAACCUCAUCGAUUGACGUUACCCGCAGAAGAAGCACCGGCUAACUCCGUGCCAGCAGCCGCGGUAAUACGGAGGGUGCAAGAGUUAAUCGGAAUUACUGGGCGUAAAGCGCACGCAGGCGGUCUGUCAAGUCGGAUGUGAAAUCCCCGGGCUCAACCUGGGAACUGCAUUCGAAACUGGCAGGCUAGAGUCUUGUAGAGGGGGGUAGAAUUCCAGGUGUAGCGGUGAAAUGCGUAGAGAUCUGGAGGAAUACCGGUGGCGAAGGCGGCCCCCUGGACAAAGACUGACGCUCAGGUGCGAAAGCGUGGGGAGCAAACAGGAUUAGAUACCCUAGUAGUC
rnacentral:rRNA from 1 species